GGCUGGAUAGCUCAGUUGGUAAGAGCAACGGAACAAUUAUCCGGAGGUUGCAGGUUCAAGCCCCGCUCCAGUCA
rnacentral:tRNA from 1 species